UAAAAAUGUAAAUAUUUAAUUCAAGUGAUUAAUAGUUAAGUUCUUUAAAGCUAAAUAAUUUGGCGGUAUUUUAUACUUUUCAGAGGAACCUGUACUUUGAUUGAUAAUCCACGAUAAAAGUAACUUAAUUUAGAAACUUUUAUAUCAUCGUUUUUAAAUAUUUUUUUAGAAUUUAAUAUUUAUAAUUUUUUAUUAAAAAAUAAAUCAGAUCAAGGUGAAGUUUAUAAUUAAGUAGAUAUGGGUUACAAUAUUUUUUAUUUUUGAAUAAUUUAUUUAAAUAUAUUUUUGAAAUUGGAUUUGUUAGUAAUUUUAAAAAUUUUUUUAAAAUGAUUAAGUACUGAAAUAUGC
rnacentral:rRNA from 1 species